rnacentral:rRNA from 1 species
UACGUAGGGGGCAAGCGUUGUCCGGAUUUACUGGGCGUAAAGAGCGUGUAGGCGGCCAAGCAGGUCCGUUGUGAAAACUGGAGGCUUAACCUCCAGACGUCGACGGAAACCGCGCGGCUAGAGUCCGGAAGAGGAGAGUGGAAUUCCUGGUGUAGCGGUGAAAUGCGCAGAUAUCAGGAAGAACACCCGUGGCGAAAGCGGCUCUCUGGAACGGUACUGACGCUGAGACGCGAAGGCGUGGGGAGCGAACAGG